rnacentral:rRNA from 1 species
UACGUAGGCAGCGAGCGUUGUUCGGAGUUACUGGGCGUAAAGGGUGCGUAGGCGGUUGUUUAAGUUUGGUGUGAAAUCUCCCGGCUCAACUGGGAGGGUGCGCCGAAUACUGAAUGACUAGAGUGCGGGAGAGGAGAGUGGAAUUCCCGGUGUAGCGGUGAAAUGCGCAGAUAUCGGGAAGAACACCCGUGGCGAAGGCGGCUCUCUGGGACGGUACUGACGCUGAGACGCGAAAGCGUGGGGAGCAAACAGG